CAGCAGCCGCGGGAAUACGGAGGGGGCUAGCGUUGUUCGGAAUUACUGGGCGUAAAGCGCACGUAGGCGGCUUUGUAAGUUAGAGGUGAAAGCCUGGGGCUCAACUCCAGAAUUGCCUUUAAGACUGCAUCGCUUGAACGUCGGAGAGGUGAGUGGAAUUCCGAGUGUAGAGGUGAAAUUCGUAGAUAUUCGGAAGAACACCAGUGGCGAAGGCGGCUCACUGGACGACUGUUGACGCUGAGGUGCGAAAGCGUGGGGAGCAAACAGGAUUAGAUACCCCAGUAGUCCCUGUCUCUUAUAC
rnacentral:rRNA from 1 species